AUGCCUGGGAGGGGUAGCGGCGGUCACUGUGGCCGCUGGCGGGAUCCUCGAACAGGUGGCGAAGGCAAUUCUCUACAUCAUCAACCGCAGGGAGAUCGCCUGCCUGGAGUGUGGCAAGUUGAAGCAGCCCGAGAAGAUGCGCGGAGACACUUCGACAAGCAUCGGUGGGUUGAAUUUUCUUUUCUCAGACUCGCGAUUCGUGGCGCGGUGAACAUUUCCUUUCUUGAUGCGGACAAGUCAGAGGCCGAGAAGGCCGCACUGAAGGCCGAGUACGAUCGCAAGCUCGCCGAACAGCAGCUAAAGAUGGAAGAGCUCAGGAGCAAGGAGAGACAUGAUAUGUGGGUACAUCUCGCCUCGUUCCUCGACUACCAGGCACGAUGCCAGAGAGACUGGUUUGAGCAGGCCAAGGCCAAGGAAAGGGACCAGAAGAAAGCUCUGGCUCUGGAGGAACACAUCAGCAACGCGGAAACAGGGAAGAGACGCUGCAAGGGGAGCAGGGGCCACCCAUACUGA
rnacentral:rRNA from 1 species